rnacentral:rRNA from 1 species
UACGUAUGGAGCAAGCGUUAUCCGGAUUUACUGGGCGUAAAGGGAGCGUAGGCGGCCUGCCAAGUCUGAUGUGAAAUACCGGGGCUCAACCCCGGGGCUGCAUUGGAAACUGGCAGGCUGGAGUGCCGGAGAGGCAGGCGGAAUUCCUAGUGUAGCGGUGAAAUGCGUAGAUAUCAGGAGGAAUACCGUUAGCGAAGGCGGCAAUCUGGCUGGAAACUGACGCUGAGGUGCGAAAGCGUGGGUAGCAAACAGG